AGGAAGGCGGGGCUAAAGCAGCUUGGGGCUGCAACAGCCGCGAAAGCUUCAUUCCUUGCCCCCUUUGUAUUUACUGGGAGCGCAUCAGGGACAGAGGUCUAAGUUUCCCAGCUAAUGGAAUGUGCUGACCAGGCGCGGACUGCAAGGAUCCCAAGCUGACUAGAACUGAAAGAUGAUAAGCAAAGGCGCAGAGAAUUUUGUUUCAAGAGACUCAGCCAACCAGAAACAUCCACUGGCUGUCCAAGCUGCCACAUCCCCCUCCCCUCCAGUCUGCUUUUAAAAAUCUUUGCUUGGAAAUUUUAGGGGAGCCCCGGGGUUUUUCCAGCAUUAGCUGCCCUGAGUCUCCUUACUUGGCCUUGUAAUCAAUGUCUACUUUCUAUCUCUGCAAUACUGGUCUCGAUAUACUGGAAUAACUGGGCGCCAGAUGAGGGGACCCAAUUGUGGUCCAGUGAUAACAAAACAACCCAAAAUGCUCUGAACCGGAAUAUUGAUUAUUUCUAGUUGAAAGCACUUGAGAAGCAGCAGUUGCAGAAAAGGCUAUAUCUGCACUGCCUUUUCUUACCUAUAGCAAGCCAUGAAAAUUCCCGUGAGAAAGCUGCCUUCCCUGUACCAACGAGAUUACCCUUAUUACCAGUGACUGAAAAUUGGUGCUGCAAUGGGUCUGUAUAAAUAAACUUAUUAAAAAAAAAAA